UUUCCGUAGGUGAACCAGCGGAAGGAUCAUUAAAGAGUCGGGGUCCAUCAGGGCCCGAUCUCCCACCCUUUGUCGUCGCGAAUUCGUUGCCUCGGCGGGCAGGCGGCCCUCGAAAGCCGCCCCCGGGCCCCGGCCCACCCGUCGCGGGACAAAACCAACUCUGCUUUUUAACAAUGAAGUCGGAGCGAUUUAAACAAAUGAAUCAAAACUUUCAACAACGGAUCUCUUGGUUCUG
rnacentral:misc_RNA from 1 species